rnacentral:ncRNA from 1 species
UGCCUGCAAUGGCCUAACAGGGAAUUUGUAAAACAAAGCAGCCCCCGCUACUGUAUUAGUGGACGAAGUCUUUAUGCUUCAAACCAUGCUUAAGCCCUUUAUCCUUAAGCGGAUCAUUUUGAAGCGUCACUGGAAACCCGGGAAGACAAAGACCGAGGAUGAAACUGAGCCAGGAGACCUGCUGUCAUG